UACGGAGGAGGCAAGCGUUAUCCGGAAUUAUUGGGCGUAAAGAGUCCGUAGGUGGCUUUUCAAGUCUGCUGUCAAAGCCUGUAGCUCAACUACAGAUAGGCAGUGGAAACUGAUGGGCUGGAGUCCGGUAGGGGUAGCGGGAAGUCCCAGUGUAGCGGUGAAAUGCGUAGAGAUUGGGAAGAACAUCGGUGGCGAAAGCGCGCUACUGGGCCGGAACUGACACUGAGGGACGAAAGCUAGGGGAGCGAAAGGG
rnacentral:rRNA from 1 species